UGCAGUGCCAGACACUACCUGUGUCAGU
rnacentral:piRNA from 1 species